rnacentral:lncRNA from 1 species
AUGUGUAAAACAAAUGUACUGUUACAUAUAGAUCCCUAUUGUUCUUAACUUUAAACAGAAAUUCAUAAACAGAUCCCGAGAACAUUAUCCACAUGUCCUUGCUUCUGUAUUCUGUUGCAGAUUAAUCCUUUAUUAUUGAGAUGAACCCAAGCCAGGUUGGUUCAUACAAACCACAGUCAAAUUAAAUCAAUAAUGUGUCUAUCUCAGUCUAAGCAUAUAGAAAUAGUCAAGUAUUAUGUAAAAGAUACAAGUUAAACUAUAAUACAGUCUUAAAUUAGACUAAUUAAGUCAUAUUUGAUCAAUUAUAUGUGAAUCAUAGUAAAACAAAAUGAACCAACUCAUGUUAUUUGGUUUGGACAUUCAAUUAAAAGGGCUAAAGGGUGAUUGGAUAGGAUCUGAAAACAUAGGAUAAUCAACCAACUGCAUGGUACAGUUUGAAGAGACUCCAAAUUAAUAUCCCAAGCCUCUUGAAUCAGAUAAAUUAACCUAUGGCUCUAACGUGAUGUUUAACCUUACAUGAUGCAAUCUGAUAGACCUGUGAUGUUAUUGAAGAUAGGGCUAAGGUUGUAGAGCCGAUUUCAACUACACCACCAACCCUUCAAUGUGUAUGAUUGGUUCCCAUGGACACAUGGUGCCGACUAUAAGAGUCUCUGCAAACAGCUGCCUCC